CCUACGGGUGGCAGCAGUGAGGAAUAUUGGUCAAUGGGCGGAAGCCUGAACCAGCCAAGUCGCGUGAGGGAUUAAGGCCCUGCGGGUCGUAAACCUCUUUUGCCGGGGAGCAGAGGUCCGGACGUGUCCGGGCCGGGAGAGUACCCGGAGAAAAAGCAUCGGCUAACUCCGUGCCAGCAGCCGCGGUAAUACGGAGGAUGCGAGCGUUAUCCGGAUUUAUUGGGUUUAAAGGGUGCGUAGGCGGGUUAUCAAGUCAGCGGUAAAAUCGUGGAGCUCAACUCCAUCCAGCCGUUGAAACUGAUGAUCUUGAGUGGGCGAGAAGUAUGCGGAAUGCGUGGUGUAGCGGUGAAAUGCAUAGAUAUCACGCAGAACUCCGAUUGCGAAGGCAGCAUACCGGCGCCCGACUGACGCUGAAGCACGAAAGCGUGGGUAUCGAACAGGAUUAGAUACCCUAGUAGUC
rnacentral:rRNA from 1 species